rnacentral:lncRNA from 1 species
UCACUCUUUAAAAGAGGUCAGGGGUUCAAGCUCCGCUCUCAUAUGGAGUCACCACUUUGGCCAACACUUUACCCCUUACGGGCCGACUCGGUGCGAGCGGGAAUUAGUUUAGAUUGUGGUACGGACUUAAAGGUACCUCUCACAGUUGGAGCCCACUCAAGACCACCUCAUGGUUCAGACAAAAAAAAAAAAGAGAUAGAAAUAAAAAUGAGAUGCAUGAGUCCCCUACAAAAUGAGGAGUAGAGAUUGGAAAUCAAAACCCAAAGACAGAACUAUCCCCAUUAUUUUUUCUAUUUUUCCAAAAUGCCCUCUUUACAAUUAAAAACUAUAAAAUUGAAAAAAGAAAAAAAGAAAAAACGAAAUCCCAAACCAUCGACUAACCAAUCUCGUCUCUCUCACCUGAAAACAAUUGGCUGUAGCACCUUCACCAGUUGAGCAGCUCAUCGCCGAUGGCAGUCUUUGUUGCUCGUCACCAGUGGGGUACCAUGUGAUUUCACCACUUGGUUUCUCUAUCUUUUCUUCUUCUCUCGCAUCACUCACUGGCCCACCGGUUGGAUUCGUUGCUGAUUGCAGUCUAUCUCCAUUGCCCUCAUCGAUCGAAUUUGUCGGUUCAGUAGCUCUCAUCACUGUCAUGGUCGGCUCUCCGUCGUCGUCGAAGAACCAAUCAAUAACGAUGAUGAUGAUGAUUUUUUUACGACAAUAAUGAUUAUGCCUAAUAAGAAGAGCAUGAAACACGAGAGAGAAUAAUAAUAAAAAAUAAAAGAGAAAAUAAUAAUAAUUUUUAUUAUAAAAUAAUAAUAAUAGAAAUAAUUUUCUUUUAUUAUUAUUACUACUAUUACUACACCAAUAAUAAUAAUAAUAAACAGCAAUUCAUUCUAAUUCUAAAUAAAAUAAAUACAUUAAUAAAAACACAGUUUAUUUUGAUUUAUAUUCCUACAUCUAAAGUAGAUAAUUUAUUUUAACUCUCAUUUCUAAUUUCGAUCAGCCUAUUCCGAUUACUGAUUAGUAAAUGCACCAUAAACAAUUUCUAUCGAACAUGUUUCUAAUAUGAGUCCUCAGGUACCAUUCAAGUGAAUUUAUCAAUGAAACAUAUAUGUAUUUUGUUAUUUUGAACAUGUUAGACAUCUUAAAAUUUACUCUAAGGGUGCGUUUGACAUACUAUAUUGUAUUAUACUAUAUUGUAUUGAUAUUGGAUUAUGUUUUGUGGUGCACUGUAUUGUUUUAAAUUUUUUAUGAUUAAUUUAAAUAUUAUAUUAUAUUAAUAUUUGAAAUAUUUAUUAUUAGUUAUAAUAAAUUAUACAUUUAUUAAUGUAUAUUAAUAAUUAUAAUGUAAAAUAAAAAAUAUAUUAAAUUAAAAAGUUAUAUUUAUUAUUAUUAUUAAAUUAAAAAGUUGCCGUGCCGCAUUAGCACAGCCCCUUUAACUCAAUCCCAUGUUCUUCCAAACAUAGCACUAGCAUUAAUUUAAUGUGAACAAUAUUUUAAUACAUGAUAAUGUAAUGCAACAAACACACCUUAAAAGUACAUCACAUGGGAGUUGUCAUGAGACGUGAGUCAAUAGUGACGAUUUUGAAUAAUUUUCAAAUCACCAUUUUACCCUCUAUUAUGUGAGCUAUUUGUCAAUUUAUUGCAUAUGCAUGAUAGUACCAAUGAUUCUAUGAAUUGUAAUUAAAACAAAAAAGAAAAUUCCUAUGACACACCAAUUCCAAGUAUGCCAUUUGGUGAUGAUUGAAUUAGACAUUAAUUAAUAUAUGAAAUCUACAAUCAUAUUAGAAAAACUGAAAAACAAUCUAUGAAAAUUGCUUUUUUUAAAAUUGAGCCGACAAAAUUUUCCUGUUUCUUGGACAUUUCUAUUCCGGUCAGCAAUGUCAGCACUCUUUUUGGUAAUCAUACAAAAGUUUGCUAUAUAAUAUUGUGGGACGAUUAGAGAUAAGAGAAAUGCACAGGGAUGGUUGGACAAUCAUUAUGAAUUUGGAUAUGAGAAAAAAAAUUUAUUCAGCACGAGAUAACAGUGUAUUUGCAAUAUUAUAAGCUAUUUGAUAAUGAUGUGAAAAUCCGUUCACACUAAAAUUUAGAACCCCAAACCUGAGAAGGAUUAUUCAUCCAGGCAAAUGGCGUGUGUUAUUUUCGUUCUCCUCCCCUCAACUAUACCGUAUUUCUACUUUAAUGUGUCGGAACGAAGGGCUAGUUUGUGACUUCACGUUAAAGUCUUUGUAUAUUCAAAAUAUUUUUACGUUGGGUUCGGAGAAUUGCAAGAAGCAAGCUAAAUAGCAGUGAUUUCGCACUUGAGCAUCCUGUCGGAUGGCUAGG